rnacentral:rRNA from 1 species
UACGUAGGGUGCGAGCGUUAAUCGGAAUUACUGGGCGUAAAGCGUGCGCAGGCGGUGAUGUAAAACCGAUGUGAAAUCCCCGGGCUUAACCUGGGAACUGCAUUGGUGACUGCAUCGCUCGAGUAUGGCAGAGGGGGGUAGAAUUCCACGUGUAGCAGUGAAAUGCGUAGAGAUGUGGAGGAAUACCGAUGGCGAAGGCAGCCCCCUGGGUCAAUACUGACGCUCAUGCACGAAAGCGUGGGGAGCAAACAGG